AUACACAAAUGUUGACUUAAAUAGUUCCAGGAUCUUUCUCUGGGGAUUCUCUUGUCUCCAUUUAUUGAAGAGGAGUCCAGAACUCCCAUAAAGCAAAGCACCUGGCUUGAGUACACUCACCUAUCAACAACAGCAUCUGG